rnacentral:tRNA from 1 species
GAGGGUAUAGUUCAGUGGUAGAGUGCAUGCCUAGCAUGCACGAGGUCCUGGGUUCAAUCCCCAGUACCUCA